CACCUCCACCACCAACAACAACAACAAUGACGAUGACAACAACGACGACAACAACAAAAACAACAAAAACAACGAUGACGACGAUGACGACAACAACAAGAACAACAACAUGAACAACGAAGACGACGACUACGACAACUACAGGAACAAGAUCAACAACAGUAACAACAAUAAAAACAAGAAUAACAACAACAACAACAACAACAACGAAGACGACGACGACAACAAUGACAACAACAAAAAU
rnacentral:lncRNA from 1 species